CAAGUGCUCGCUUACAACGCAUGUUAGCUUCUCACUACAAAAUUCAGGAAAUGACAGCUUGGCUAAAAAAAAGUACCCUCCACGGCUAACCGACAUCAAGACUGCCUUUCAAAAUGUGGAUAAAUGUGUUCAGACAACGUGCUCCUGGACAGCGUAUGGCCUGGGAACCAUCAGACCAUCCACGGCAGGAGGUGCCACGGAGUCUGUAGAUGUGGCUGAUGCAACACUCGGAGGUGAUGUCAUGGAUGUGUCGGCCUCUUAGCAGCACUGCUGCGGAACAGACUGCGAGAGGGCGUUUCCUGUGUGUGAAUGGAGAGAGUGGCUUCCGUAUGACAUCAUCACAUAUGGUGAGGUGCAGCAGAUGUUCCCUUGAGCUAACAAACAAAAACACUGAUUAAGUCUCACCACCAGAUAAAUACCAUUUAUGUGUUUAAAAUGUGUUUAAAAUCACUAACAGUGGUUGUUAGCUUUAAUUGGAAAUAAAAAGUGCAAAAGGUCCUAUGUAUACUUAUUCCGUGGUGCCCAGCCUGUAUGUUUG